ensembl:lncRNA
ACAGCGCAGAGGGCAGAAGCCAGCUGUGCUUACCAAGCCCAGCUGUUCAGACUUGGGGUGGUGCAGGGUCAAACUAGCAGUGCCAAAUCCUAGGAAGAGCCCUUCUUCCAGCCAGCAGGUCCUCCCCUGAACUCCUCGGAGCUCUGCCCAAGCUCUGAAGGCCUCCGAGGGCUCUUUAUGCCCCGUUUAUCCGUGGUAUCGCCACUCUCCAGAAUACAUCCUGGCCCAUCUCAGGCACUUCCCUGAAUUCUCCGUAUACAGAAAGGAUGCAACGUUCCCUGUUAAGCAGAAAUAUCCUGUUUCCUGCCGCUACCUUACUGUUCUUCUCGUCUCCAGAAUACAGCCCGGGUAAGCCGCCUCUGUGACAGGACUAACGUGGGGGUGCAGCGAGCCGGACCCUCAGGAGACCCGACUUUGGCAGCGCCCCUUUAAACCUGCGGUCAGCUCUCGAACCAGGUCGGCAUCGCC